AGGAACGGCUGGCGGCGUGCCUAACACAUGCAAGUCGAGCGGGGUUGAAGGCGAGGGGUAACUCAAGCUUCUACCGUAGCGGCGGACGGGUGAGUAACGCGUGGGCAACCUGCCGUCAAGGUCUGGGAUAACAGCUCGAAAGGGCUGCUAAUACCGGAUAUGCCUAUGGCCUCGCAUGGGGCUAUGAGCAAAGGGGAAACCCGCCUUGAGAUGGGCCCGCGUCCCAUCAGCUAGUUGGUGAGGUAACAGCUCACCAAGGCGACGACGGGUAGCCGGCCUGAGAGGGUGACCGGCCACACUGGGACUGAGACACGGCCCAGACUCCUACGGGGGGCAGCAGUGGGGGAUCUUGCACAAUGGGCGAAAGCCUGAUGCAGCGACGCCGCGUGAGCGAAGAAGGCCUUCGGGUUGUAAAGCUCUGUCUGGAGGGACGAAGGAAGUGACGGUACCUCCGGAGGAAGCCACGGCUAACUACGUG
rnacentral:rRNA from 1 species